rnacentral:rRNA from 1 species
AAUGAACGCUGGCGGCGGGCCUAACACAUGCAAGUCGAACGCGUGGCGGACGGGUGAAUCAUGUCUGGGAAACUCCUUGAUGGAGGGGGAUAACUCCUGGAACCGGUAGCUAAUCCCGCAUACCAUCCACUGUUCCCAGAUGGCAUUAGCUUGUUGGUGGGGUAACGGCUCACCAAGGCGACGAUCCCUAGCUGGUCUGCGAGGAUGACCGGCCACACUGGAACUGAGACACGGUCCAGACUCCUACGGGAGGCAGCAGUAGGGAAUCUUGCGCAAUGGGCGCAAGCCUGAUGCAGCCAUGCCGCGUGUAUGAAGAAGGCCUUCGGGUUGUAAAGUACUUUCAGCGGGGAGGCGUUACCCGCAGAAGAAGCACCGGCUAACUCCGUGCCAGCAGCCGCGGUAAUAC